rnacentral:SRP_RNA from 1 species
GCCUGGCUCAGUGCUGUGCGCCUGUGGUUCAGCUACUAGGCUGGGGUGGAUGGCUUGAUCCCAGUUCUGGGCUGCAGUGUGCUAUGCCAAUCGGUUGUCCACAGUAAGUUUGGCAUUGACAUGGUGACCUCCUGGGAAUUAGGGAUCAUCAGGUUGCCUAAGGAGGAGUGAACCAGCCAAGGUAGGAAACAAAUCAAGUCAAAACACUCAUGCUGACCAGAAGAGGGAUCCACCAUCUGUGAAAAUGCCGCAAGACUCUGUCUCAU